UCCAGGCUGGGGGUGGGGGUGGGAGGGGGGCUUGAAGGGGCGCCUGCCCUCAGGGCUCUGGAAUGCCAUGCAUGUGUUUAUCUGCUGAGCCGGGCCUGCCCGCUUGGUCCACCUCGGCGUUCUCCAUGGGCUCACAUGCCAUCGGUCUCUGAUAAACGUGAAAAAAUAGCAACAUCUGAGCCACCGACCUUCACAUAGAGGCCUUGGAGACCACAGCCAGGGCGGUUGCUCCUCUGUGGGGUCAGACAGCCAAGGUCUGCAGAGGGGGAGAGAGAAGCAUACCCUCAGAUCAGGGGUGGGGACGCCGGGGUCCAGGGCGCUACGGAGUCUGCCCUGGACACAGCCGGGCUUGGAGGCCACGGCAAGCAGGAUGGGGCCGGAUGCUGUCCCACAGAUGCCGGGCGGCGUGCCCUCUGCACACUGAUGGCGGGGCCCAGCCCGCCCGCUCCAGCCCCGCAGACAUCUCUGGGCACCUCGCGUGUCAGAUGCCACACUGAGGCCAGGCCCCUGCUGGCACCCCUCUCCUUUGCCUGCCCCCCCUCCCACAAAGUCCCUGCUCCACUGUUCAGCCGAGACUUCCUGGUCUGCGGUGAAGGAUGGGAGGGCCUGGGGUUUUCCAGACAGUCUGAGUUGUGGGUUCUGAUCUCUUCCUUAAAAAAAAAAAAGAAUAAGCCAACAUUGUAGCCUUGCCUGCACGGUCCGGUCAGUGGAAUGCAAGCAAAGUCUUCAUUUGGAGCCAACUCUCUCCCUUUUCUUUCCUUUUUCCUAAGACUUCCCAGGUGGUGCUAGUUAUAAAGAACCCGCCUGCCAGUGCAGGAGACUCAAGAGAUGCGGGUUCGAUCCCUGGGUCAGGAAGAUCCCCAUUCUUGCCUGGAGAAUCCCAUGGACAGAGGAGCCUGAUGAGGAGACCGAGGCUCAGAAGAUUUAAGUUCCUUCCCAAAAUGGUGACUUCAAAGCCGUGGAGCCAACGUUACAGCAGCACCAGGGGUCUUCUGGAUGACUGGACCGAAGGAGGGACCAGCCAGCCCCGUUUGCCAGGGAUUCUCCCAGGCUUAGCCAUGCAGGUGUCAUGGGAAAGCCCUUAAUCUUGGGCAAAUCCAGGGAUGUUGGUCACCCCAUUAAAUGCUCAUCUGUCUCCUCUUUUCUUAUUGCUUUUGAUUUUCACAGCAACACACUGUUAACUUUAGCUGUUUUUUGGGGCAAAGACAGAGAACUGCCCCAGAAUGGCGCCCCUGGUUCUGGGGGCCAUUUGAGGAUGAUGGGGAGGAGUGUGCUGGGCACAGAGCUGGGAAGGCAACGAAUAUCCACUCAAUGCCCACUCAGCAACGCUUGUUGUCGCCCUGACCCAACGUGGGGGGCAGGAGAAGGGGAAGGGACACGGGAGUGAGGGCAAAACAGGGGACCCGGGUGGAGGGGAGGGAGCACCGAGUGCCGAGUUCCAGCUGGGCGGCCUGGCCACCCCCACCACGUCCUGGAGCCUGGACUGCUCUAUGGGGCACGCCUGGGGCACAGGGUGGAGGUCAGGUGAAGAAGCUCUGGCCAAGCAAGGAUGUGAGGCUGGGGGUGGGGGUCCCCUUAGGGGAUGUGAGGAUCGCUGUCAUAGUGUGGCGGGGAGGCAAGGAAAAGCAGAGGACCUCUGGGGGUGGGGGGGGUGGGGGGGGUAGAAGAAGUUUCGGGCAGUCUGUAAGCUGUAAGCCGAGUACCGGGUCUGCCACGAGCCAGGCGUCUGUCUGUGCUUUCCGGCACUCAGCCCCUCGAGCCUCCGAAUCCCAGGAGGUAGGUAUCGUCCUGGUCCUCGGGAUCUCCGUCUUACAAACGCGAGUAAAGGCACAGAUGAGUAAAGAAACCUGUCUAAGGUCACACGGGGAGACAUGAUGGAGCUGGGGUUCCCAUGUGUCUGACGGUAGAGGAGGAGAGGCGUUUUCCCUUCCUUCCUUCCCUCCUUCCCUCUUGCCUUCCUUUCUCUCCCUCCUCUUCCCUCCCCUUCUUCCUCCUCCUCCUUUUAAAAUGAUGCAGCCUUUUCUUGACCCACCAGGCUAGGUGGGUCGAGUCUAGGGAAAGUCUUCUUUUCCAGCCAGCCCCUGCCCGCUUCCUUUUUCACUUUCUUCCCCAAAGGCUGGGAGAGGGGACUAUUUCAGCGCCCCCACCCUUUCCUGACUCAGGCCCCGUCGGGCAGUCGGGCUGAAACGCGGAGAGAGACGUGGUGACUGGUGUUCCGGGCGAAUGUGAAUGUGAGAUAGGUGAGCGCGGAUGAAAGCCGCUCCAGGAGAACAUCCGGAUCCUGGAGCCUGCCGACUGCCAGCCCCGCCCUGCGAGUCCACGUCUAAAGCCCCGAUCCCGUCUCCACGGCUGGUCUCCAUCAGGAGCCCGGGGAGGGCGCACACCCUGAGGUCAGCCGCUGGCUCAGUCCCCGCCCGCUGCCCGGGAGGCAGCCUCCGGGCAUCCUCUGCACCUGCGUCUGGUGGGAAAUCGGGGGUGGUAGGUCAAGAGGGAACCUGCGCAGGGCGUGGGUUCCCUGCCCUGGGCAAGCUCCGCCUCCGCCCCGGCCCUCUUGACAAAGACCUCCCGUGAGUCAGCGCUCAGGCCCCGCCCCACCCGCGGGGCGCUCUGCCCAGCGCCACCCCCGCCGCCACCUCCUCACCCUCAUCCGUGACUCACCUGUCUCCCGCUGGUCCCCAUCGCCGAGUCUCCGCGGGGCUCGUCCAGGGACCGGCCCUUCUGGGAACCGCAGGACCACACCACGUGGCUGACCGGCCUGCACAUCAACGCACUGAAAUGAAUGGACAAGACAGGCCCAGGACUAGCAUCCGCUUCUGAGCGGUGAGGACUCUUGGUUCACAUCGCUUUCUCAGUGGAAGUUCUCUUUUUGUCAACACGUUAGGGAAUUGGACAUAACGCCUAGAGAGAAGCCGUUUCUAGAGAAGCACUUUAGGGAGUGCCUGAAACUGCAGCGUUGUGGCAGGUGUCUGUGAUGCAGCCCACCACAGCAGGAGUAACUGAGGCUGAAAUCAGUCUUUCUGAGUGAGUGAGUGAAAGGCGCUCAGUCAUGUCCGACUCUUUGCAACCGACUCUUUGCAACUGUAUAGUCCAUGGAAUUCUUCAGGCCAGAACACUGGAGUGGGUAGCCUUUCCCUUCGCCAGGGGAUCUUCCCAACCCAGGGGUUGAACCCAGGUCUCCCACACUGCAGGUGGAUUCUUUACCAGCUGAGCCACAAGGAAAGCCCAGUCUUUUUAGCUCAGUAGAAAAUUUAUC